GCAAUUGGCGGAUGCCUUAACAUGCAGUCGAACGGCAGCGGGGGAGAAGCUUGCUUUUCCUGCCGGCGAGUGGCGAACGGGUGAGUAAUACAUCGGAACGUGCCCUGUAGUGGGGGAUAACUAGUCGAAAGAUUAGCUAAUACCGCAUACGACCUGAGGGUGAAAGUGGGGGACCGCAAGGCCUCAUGCUAUAGGAGCGGCCGAUGUCUGAUUAGCUAGUUGGUGGGGUAAAGGCCUACCAAGGCGACGAUCAGUAGCUGGUCUGAGAGGACGAUCAGCCACACUGGGACUGAGACACGGCCCAGACUCCUACGGGAGGCAGCAGUGGGGAAUUUUGGACAAUGGGCGAAAGCCUGAUCCAGCAAUGCCGCGUGUGUGAAGAAGGCCUUCGGGUUGUAAAGCACUUUUGUCCGGAAAGAAAUGGCUCUGGUUAAUACCUGGGGUCGAUGACGGUACCGGAAGAAUAAGGACCGGCUAACUACGUGCCAGCAGCCGCGGUAAUACGUAGGGUCCAAGCGUUAAUCGGAAUUACUGGGCGUAAAGCGUGCGCAGGCGGUUGUGCAAGACCGAUGUGAAAUCCCCGAGCUUAACUUGGGAAUUGCAUUGGUGACUGCACGGCUAGAGUGUGUCAGAGGGGGGUAGAAUUCCACGUGUAGCAGUGAAAUGCGUAGAGAUGUGGAGGAAUACCGAUGGCGAAGGCAGCCCCCUGGGAUAACACUGACGCUCAUGCACGAAAGCGUGGGGAGCAAACAGGAUUAGAUACCCUGGUAGUCCACGCCCUAAACGAUGUCAACUAGUUGUUGGGGAUUCAUUUCCUUAGUAACGUAGCUAACGCGUGAAGUUGACCGCCUGGGGAGUACGGUCGCAAGAUUAAAACUCAAAGGAAUUGACGGGGACCCGCACAAGCGGUGGAUGGAUGUGGAUUAAUUCGAUGCAACGCGAAAAACCUUACCUACCCUUGACAUGCCACUAACGAAGCAGAGAUGCAUUAGUGCUCGAAAGAGAAAGUGGACACAGUGCUGCAUGGCUGUCGUCAGCUCGUGUCGUGAAGAUGGUUGGGUUAAGUCCCGCACGAGCGCAACCCUUGUCUCUAGUUGCUACGAAAGGCACUCUAGAAGAGACUGCCGGUGAAAACCGGGGAGAAGGGUGGGGAUGACGUCAAGUCUC
rnacentral:rRNA from 1 species